UACGUAGGGACCAAGCGUUGUUCGGAUUUACUGGGCGUAAAGGGCGCGUAGGCGGCAAUUCAAGUCAUCUGUGAAAUCUCCGGGCUUAACCCGGAACGGUCAGAUGAUACUGCUUUGCUAGAGUGCGGAAGGGGCAAUCGGAAUUCUUGGUGUAGCGGUGAAAUGCGUAGAUAUCAAGAGGGACACCUGAGGUGAAGACGGGUUGCUGGGCCGACACUGACGCUGACAGCGCGAAAGCGAGGGGAGCAAACGGG
rnacentral:rRNA from 1 species